rnacentral:lncRNA from 1 species
AAAUUCAGUUUAGGCUUUAAAACCCUAAUGCUGAUUGCAUGGAAAAGCUCAGUUUAGAGUUUAAAACUCUAAUGCUGGCUAAAAGGAAAAGUUCAGUUUAAGGUUUAAAACCCUAAUGCUGACUAAAAGAAAAUUCAGUUUAGGGUUUAAAACCCUAAUGCUGAUUGCAUGGAAAAGCUCAGCUUAGGGUUUAAAAACCCUAAUGCUGACUAAAAAGAAAAUUCAGUUUAGGGUUUAAAACCCUAAUGCUGAUUGCAUGGAAAAGCUCAGUUUAGAGUUUAAAACUCUAAUGCUGGCUGAAAGGAAAAUUCAGUUUAGGGAUUAAAACCCUAAUGCUGAUUGCAUGGAAAAGCUCAGUUUAGAGUUUAAAACUCUAAUGCUGGCUGAAAGGAAAAUUCAGUUUAGGGUUUAAAACCCUAACGCUGAUUAAAAGAAAAUUCAGUUUAGGGUUUAAAACCCUAAUGCUGAUUGCAUGGAAAAGCUCAGUUUAGAGUUUAAAACUCUAAUGCUGGCUAAAAGGAAAAGUUCAGUUUAGGGUUUAAAACCCUAACGCUGAUUAAAAGAAAAUUCAGUUUAGGGUUUAAAACCCUAAUGCUGAUUGCAUGGAAAAGCUCAGUUUAGAGUUUAAAACUCUAAUGCUGGCUGAAAGGAAAAUUCAGUUUAGGGUUUUAAAACCCUAAUGCUGAUUGCAUGGAAAAGCUCAGUUUAGAGUUUAAAACUCUAAUGCUGGCUGAAAGGAAAAUUCAGUUUAAGGUUUAAAACCCUAAUGCUGACUAAAAGAAAAUUAGUUUAGGGUUUAAAACCCUAAUGCUGAUUGCAUGGAAAAGCUCAGUUUAGAGUUUAAAACUCUAAUGCUGGCUGAAAGGAAAAAGUUCAGUUUAGGGUUUAAAACCCUAAUGCUGACUAAAAGGAAAAUUCAGUUUAGGGUUUAAAACCCUAAUGCUGAUUGCACGAAAAAGCUCAGUUUAGAGUUUAAAACUCUAAUGCUGGCUGAAAGGGAAAAGUUCAGUUUAGGGUUUAAAACCCUAAUGCUGAUUGGCUGGGGAUAAAGCUCGAGAAUGCUACACGAUCUAUUUUCUGAGUUUUCUUGUUUUAAUAGAAAAUGAAAGGGAGUUUUGCGGGAACUUACCUUUUGAGUGAAUUCCUUAUUGCCAAAAUGUUUCUUGUACCCGUGUACCUUCUUCUUUGGGUGACACCUGCUUCUUGCACGGUUGUCUUGGAUUAAUACCUGUUUCAACUUCUCAGACAAAGAACAAUUGUUAGUUCGGAAAUGACGGUCGGUUCGGUGACCUUGAUCGUUCCCAAUUGCUUUGUUGCGUCUCUAUUUAUGUUGCGAAGUCCCGCCAUUGAUUUGAUUCGAACGGCGAAAUCUUUAGACUGCUCAGGCUUGUAUUUCCGGAUUCUGUGAUGACUUGCUUCGUAAGGCUUUUUUUUUUUGUGUCCCGUUUUUCUUGGAGGUUCUCAACGGGGAUUUUAUUAGAGGUAUUUUGUGGGAAUUUGUACAAAAGGGAAGCUCUGUGGGGAAUAUUUACAAAGUGGAUUCUUUGUGUGGAUUUUUGUAUAAUGGGGCAUGCUGGGGAUUUAUUUCAAAGCGGGAUUUCUAGGAUUUGUUGGGGCAAGCUUGUUGGGGAAUAUUUACAAAAGGACUCGCUGGGGAUGU